rnacentral:rRNA from 1 species
GGGGUGCUCGAGUGGCGAACGGGUGAGUAACACGUGAGUAACCUGCCCUUGACUUUGGGAUAACUUCAGGAAACUGGGGCUAAUACCGGAUAGGAGCUCCUGCUGCAUGGUGGGGGUUGGAAGGUUUCGGCGGUUGGGGAUGGACUCGCGGCUUAUCAGCUUGUUGGUGGGGUAGUGGCUUACCAAGGCUUUGACGGGUAGCCGGCCUGAGAGGGUGACCGGCCACAUUGAACUGAGACACGGUCCAG